rnacentral:lncRNA from 1 species
GCCCGGGCUGCUGCUGCGCGCCCGCCUCCACGCGCGCCCGCCGCCUGCGCCUGCCGCCCUCCCUCCGGCUCCUCUCUUUCUCUCCCCCUCUCUCUCCCUCUCCUCUCUCGCUCGCUCUCUUGCUCGCGCUCUCUCCCUCCCUGGAAGAAGGGAAUGAGGCAGGGCUGACGUGAAGGGAUGCAAAACAGCUCCUCCUAACCCAGCUCGCAGAGGAAGAGAGACAGAAAAGCAGCCCUUUUAUCUCUCUUUUGUUUUCUCACUUCCUUCCACCCCCCAACACCCCCUCCUGUCAGCCCAAGUUUUCUUUUUCUCUUUCUACCACAGAGAGGAUUUUUCUUCCUUUCUUUCUCUUUCUCUCGGUUCAACUCUUCUACUCGAAUUCAAAAGCCUGGAGGGUUUUUUCCCCUCUCUCUUUUCUUCCUUCUUUUCUUCCUUCUUCCUCCUUUCUUAUUUCUCUAAAAGGGUUUUGUUUGCUGUGGGAGUUUCGUUUGAAAAUCAAGUCACGCCUUUUUUUCCUUCUUUUCUCUCUCUCUCUUUUCUCUCCUCAGCAGAAAAGGGGAACAAAGAUUAACGAGCGGGGGAGAAGGGAGCGUCAGAACCUCGCAUGGAAAUGGGGGGCCCUGCCCGGCACAAAGGGGCCCAGGGGCCCCGACCCCCCGGGAAGCCUGGGGGUCCCCCCCGAAGGGAGUCAGUGGGGUGGGGGUUAGCUCCUGGGUUCCGGAUCCUUCUGAAGUACGGACUGGGAGCCCCGGGUCGGUGGUCCUCAGCCAGAGGUGGGAGGCUGGGUGUGUUCUUUACUCAUAUAUUUAUAAAGUAGGCAGAUGGGCUUGGAGCAACAUCCCCGCAGAGCUCGGAACAGUGAGAGAGCCUUGAAACAGCUGUUAGCAGAGCCCUGGACGGCCAGGACCGAGGGAGCGGCGCGGGCUGUGAGCGCCAGGCCGGGGCGGGAAGGGGUUCUGAGGAGUCGCAGGGAUGGCCCCUCGCGGGCUCCCCAAUCCCGGGGCCUGGGCCUCGGCCCGGGACGCACUUGCUGGGGGGCGCCGAGGCGUGGCCGUUCGCCGCACGCCGGUCGGGUCCCUGGCUGCUCCCCGCAGGGCCGCGGGGUCCGGCGCAGCUUGGCCUUCUCCCAGCUCUGGGGCAGGCCGGCCACCCGGCCUCCAACCUACAGAACCCGCGCCACUCAGAGCCGCUUCUCGACUCCGACGCAGGGCCGGUCCUGAGCCGGCGGGAGAGAGCCGCCACGAAGGGUCAAUUAUUCAUGGAGCGCCUGGGCGUGCUCCCAAGACCUGCCCUGUCCUCGGCUUCUCCGGAGAAGUGGGGAGAAGACGGGGGAAAAGUUCCCAGAGCAAAGUUGGGCACAUUUCUUAUUUUCCCAAGUAAGUAUUGAGCACCUGCUGGAUGCCUGGCCCUUGGACUGGGGCUGCAACGGGGGCGGGAGGGAGAAACGUGAGGUCCUGAUGGGCCCCCAAGAGUUUCCGCUGGAAACAAUGCGAAGGAGGCUGCCGCUCAGGACCAGGUCACUGGGAAGAAGGAAAGCCUGGAUCCUCUCCCCCCACCCUCCUCUCUUCCUUCCCCUUCCCUUCCUCCCGGCUGCAUCUUCUUGGCUCCACCCCUUCUCCUCAUCAAUUCCUCCCACACUUCCCUGCUCUCCCUGGCUUUUCACUGGAGGGUCCCUUCUCCCAGCGAGGAGCAGAUGCUGAGCCCCAUUGUCUCUCCCCCAAUGACUGCAGUCUCCCAGGGACAGGACCUGCCACUCUUCACCCCUCCCCCAAGCCGGGAGGCCUGGGCCUUUAGAGACUGGAGACCCAAGGCCACUGCCCCUCGCCCCACCCUACACCAGCUCUUGGUGCUGUGAGCAAUGACUCCAGUCACUCAGAACAUGAUUUAUUUCUCACUAGGAGUGAGAAAACAGAAGCCAGAGAGUUUGCUUCAGCAAGAAAGACACCAUGGUUUUGACAUCGGCACAUCGAGCCCCCAGUGACCCCAGAGCCUUCCUGCAUGCCCUGUUAAGAGAGUGCCCAGUACACUCUUUUAAUAGGGCCUGCAGGAAGUCACAUUUCUGUCAUUACCUGCUCCUUAGUACACUCAAACUGUAUCCUUUAAACAAAGCAAAACACAGCUCUGGUAGUCACACAUUCAUUCAACAAAUGCUUGUCAAGUACCUACUCUGCACCAACUAGUGUGCUGGUAGUAAGCACCUAACCAUCAGCAAGAUAGGAUCCUUGCUAUGGCUUUGCAGACAGCAGGGGAAGGAGCAAAAAAAAAAAAAAACAUAAUGUACACAAGGGUAAACCAAAAAAACAUCUAAAGGGGUACCUGACUUAGGGUAUUCCCAGAAGGCUUCCUGGAGGAGGUUACAUCUAGUUAAAUGGACCUGUGUCAGACAGUGCAUGGGAGGAAACAGCCUGUCCCCAGGGCAAGAGAGAAAGAACACUUUUACAGGUUCUUGGAAUUGUUAAUGAGUUCAAGUACUUGCUGCAGCCCAGAGU